rnacentral:rRNA from 1 species
UUGACCUCGAAUCAGGUAGGAAUACCCGCUGAACUUAAGCAUAUCAAUAAGCGGAGGAAAAGAAACCAACAGGGAUUGCCCCAGUAACGGCGAGUGAAGCGGCAACAGCUCAAAUUUGAAAUCUGGCUCUCGGGCCCGAGUUGUAAUUUGUAGAGGAUGCUUUUGGUGAGGUGCCUUCCGAGUUCCCUGGAACGGGACGCCAUAGAGGGUGAGAGCCCCGUCUGGUUGGACACCGAUCCUCUGUAAAGCUCCUUCGACGAGUCGAGUAGUUUGGGAAUGCUGCUCUAAAUGGGAGGUAUAUGUCUUCUAAAGCUAAUCC